rnacentral:rRNA from 1 species
UGGCCUUGACAUACUAAGAACUUUCCAGAGAUGGAUUGGUGCCUUCGGGAACUUAGAUACAGGUGCUGCAUGGCCGUCGUCAGCUCGUGUCGUGAGAUGUUGGGUUAAGUCCCGCAACGAGCUCAACCCUUUUCCUUAUUUGCCAGCGGGUCAUGCCGGGAACUUUAAGGAUACUGCCAGUGACAAACUGGAGGAAGGCGGGGACGACGUCAAGUCAUCAUGGCCCUUACGGCCAGGGCUACACACGUGCUACAAUGGUCGGUACAAAGGGUUGCUACCUCGCGAGAGGAUGCUAAUCUCAAAAAGCCGAUCGUAGUCCGGAUCGCAGUCUGCAACUCGACUGCGUGAAGUCGGAAUCGCUAGUAAUCGCGGAUCAGAAUGCCGCGGUGAAUACGUUCCCGGGCCUUGUACACACCGCCCGUCACACCAUGGGAGUUUGUUGCACCAGAAGUAGGUAGUCUAACCGCAAGGAGGACGCUUACCACGGUGUGGCCGAUGACUGGGGUGAAGUCGUAACAAGGUAAGCGUAGAUGA